GGUUUCAUGAGAUCUAUCACAAGCUUUAUCUGGCAACUUGAUGUCGAAGGCACCAAGAGAUCCACAGAUUUGAACAAGGGAUCCACAGAUUUGCUGGAGAAUGGCCGGAAUCAGGUGACUGUCUGUCCAUGAAUCUCUCUGGAAUCAUGUUUCAGAUGAAGAUUUCUAUAUAAAACAUACCAGUUUGUGUGGAAGAACGAGCAAGGAGAGAAGAGGCGCUCUUCACCCGAGCGCCUCUUACAAGAAUGGAUAAAAAGCGGUUGAAACACGUGUGCGAAUCAAGUAACGGGCUGCAUGGUUUAGCUUAUGGUUUUGAGGAUGAUAUCAAAUCUUUACCUCUGGAGGAUGGUGUUGAUGGGCAAAUGUCGUCUUUCAUGUAUUUAGACAGCAGAGAAAGAAAGUUCAAGAGGCGAAAG